GCCCAGCCUGGGGGAAAGCCAAAAAGGACUUGGGUGCCAGUCGGACUCCGAGGUCCUUUUGCACUGCUCUGCAGGGUGGCCAAGCCGCUGGGAUUAUUGUUAGGUGACGUUUCCCUGCCGGAGCAGAGAGCUGCCUGCAGCCACGGUCAGGCAGGGAGGCACUACGUGGGGCUGCCAGCAGGCACGUGGCCCCACGAGGGGAUGAAGAGGAUGCUGUCCCUGCCCCGGAGCCAGGGCAAACACUCGCUGAGAGACACCAGUGCUGGAUCCUCGGGGAUUUCUGCAGAUGUUCAAGCACCAGCAGAGGGGAUGAGUCACCGAGAGGAGCAACCUUAUCAACAAAGGGAAGGUAUUUUCAUUUAGACUGCUCGAAGCUCUUGUUUACACUUGUUUGAACAAACAUUUAGGAGAGGAGCUCUCUGUCAAGGCCUCGGCACUCGGAAGAGCCAAGCACUCGAGCCCUUGUGAUUCUCCCCGGCUAAGAGGGACGAGGGCCGAAACCCCAGACACAAUAACCGCGACUGCUCGCAGCGCCUGGCACAGCACCACUCCUCCAGGUUGCCUUUAGAAGGUCCACAGACGUGACAAAAGGCCAAAAGCUGGCUGUACCCCUGGCCCCACCACCCUGCUGAAGCAAGAGGGGCUCACCCGUGGCGCAAAAGCCUUCGUGUAGAGGCUGAGAAGGAAGCGGUGGCCUCCAAGAGGUGGUUUAGCUGCCCGGAGGUCCCACGCAGAAGCACAUUUUCAAGCCCCAUGCUCGCUGUGCACCAGCUUGCCAGGUCUGAAACGGGGACAUUCCCAUGCAAAACGCUUUUUGGUGAUGCGUGGGGGGAGGUUUGUUCAGAGGAAAGGCAACGCCUUCGCUUUCAGAAGGAUUUUUUCCCCCCUCCUCUCUUCCAGGUGGAUCCAGGCAAGGCGGAACAUGUCCUGGGGACGGCCACUUGCUCCGUUUGCUGUCGCUGCUGUUUGUUCUGUUUGCUGUCUCACCAUCUCCACAGCUCCCUGCUGCACCCAGCCCAGCCCAGCCUGCCGCAGGUCCUGCUGGGCUCCGCUGCACAGCGAUGAAAACCCCUCGGCUGCAGCUCCCAGCAGGAUGCCCCCUGCACCGCUCCUCUCACCCUCCCCGACACAGCUCACGCUGCCCAGGGCACGGCUCCGCAGGACAAGGGGAAUAAAGUGCACGUUGGGAGCUCAGCGAAACGAGCACAAAAAAACACACGCCCCAAGACACCAGUUUAUUUUUACACUCGCAACGCCGAGCGGUAUUUCUCGAUCAUGUUCUCAUUUGCUGAGAUCUCUACAAAAUCCUUGCAGGCUGGAGAGUAUUUCGGAACCACGUAUCCAAGACAACAAGGGUAAUUCUUCCCCAGCAUAUUAAACACAGACACCAACAGAGCUCUGAUCUUUUCGAGAUUACCCUGAUUUCAGCAGCAUAAUCCAUUGCCAUCUUUCUGAAAAGGCGAUUUCAGGAUUCAUCACCUUUUUCCUUCGGUUCACCUUGUCGUCGCAAGGAACCAGUGGCCCAGGGGCAGAAGCGCUCCAUCGCGGUGGGGCACGCACCCGGCUUGUUGGUAUUCCUGCCCAGAGCAGCUUGCAGCACUGCUGGAGCUCAUCUGUGUUAAAUUAGCCCUUCGAAAACAUCUCUGAAUCGCAGCGCCAUCGUCCCAUGAUGUAGGUCUGAGGAGCAAAAACCAAAGCCUUUGCCUGCACGAGUGCUGCGACUUGGGGCGUCACAGCCUCUGAACUGCUCAGCGCUCAGCUCGGUGGGUAAAAAAAA